GGAUGUGCAGUGGGGGGGUGGUGGUCGGGGUCACGCCGGACCCCACGAGGACACCGAAAGUGCAGGUUGGGAGGAGGGAGGAGGGGGUCACGUCGGACCCCACGAGGACACAGAAAGUGCAGGUUAGGAGGAGGUAGCUGGGGGUCACGCCAGACCCCACGAGGACACAGAACGUGCAGGUUAGAAGGAGGAAGGUGGGGGUCACGCCAGACCCCAGGAGGAAAGCGAACGUGCAGGUUAGGAGGAGGGAGGAGGGGGUCACGUCAGACCCCACGAGGACACAGAACGUGCAGGUUAGGAGGAGGGAGGUGGGGGUCACGCCAGACCCCACGAGUGCACAGAAAGUGCAGGUUAGGAGGAGGUAGCUGGGGGUCACGCCGGACCCCACGAGGACACAGAAAGUGCAGGUUAGGAGGAGAGAGGUGGGGGUCACGCCGGACCCCACGAGGACAUAGAAAGUGCAGGUUAGGAGGAGGGAGGUGGGGGUCACGCCGGACCCCAGGAGGAAAGCGAAAGUGCAGGUUAGGAGGAGGGAGGUGGGGGUCACGCCAGACCCCACGAGGACACAGAACGUGCAGGUUAGAAGGAGGAAGGUGGGGGUCACGCCAGACCCCAGGAGGAAAGCGAACGUGCAGGUUGGGAGGAGGGAGGAGGGGGUCACGUCAGACCCCACGAGGACACAGAACGUGCAGGUUAGAAGGAGAGAGGUGGGGGUCACGCCGGACCCCAGGAGGAAAGCGAACGUGCAGGUUGGGAGGAGGGAGGAGGGGGUCACGCCGGACCCCACGAGGACACAGAAAGUGCAGGUUAGGAGGAGGGAGGUGGGGGUCACGCCAGACCCCACGAGUGCACAGAAAGUGCAGGUUAGGAGGAGGUAGCUGGGGGUCACGCCGGACCCCACGAGGACACAGAAAGUGCAGGUUAGGAGGAGAGAGGUGGGGGUCACGCCGGACCCCACGAGGACAUAGAAAGUGCAGGUUAGGAGGAGGGAGGUGGGGGUCACGCCGGACCCCAGGAGGAAAGCGAAAGUGCAGGUUAGGAGGAGGGAGGUGGGGGUCACGCCGGACCCCAGGAGGAAAGCGAACGUGCAGGUUGGGAGGAUCCACAGGUUGGAGGAUGGAGAAUCUCUGUCUGGAGAAUUUGUGUGUGUGUGUGUGUGUGUGUGUGUGUGUGUGUGUGUGUGUGUGUGUGUGUGUGUGUGUGUGUGUGUGUGUGUGUGUGUGUGUGGGAAUACAAGGAGGGCCGUGA
rnacentral:lncRNA from 1 species